GGGCCCGCACAAGCGGUGGAGCAUGUGGUUUAAUUCGAUGCAACGCGAAGAACCUUACCAGGCCUUGACAUCCUCGGAACUUUCUAGAGAUAGAUUGGUGCCUUCGGGAACCGAGUGACAGGUGCUGCAUGGCUGUCGUCAGCUCGUGUCGUGAGAUGUUGGGUUAAGUCCCGUAACGAGCGCAACCCUUAUCCUUAAUUGCCAGCGGUUAGGCCGGGAACUCUAAGGAGACUGCCGAUGACAAAUCGGAGGAAGGUGUGGACGACGUCAAGUCAUCAUGGCCCUUACGGGCUGGCUACACACGUGCUACAAUGGGCGUACAGAGGGUUGCGAAGCGGCGACGUGGAGCCAA
rnacentral:rRNA from 1 species